AAUACUGUAAUUUGGAAGAGAUGAAGAUUGACAGCACAGACGAGGUGAAGAAGCUUUUUCAAAGUGGUUUCCGCAGUCUCAACACAGUUCAUGUAUUUUAUUGCCAAAAAGCGAAGGACUUAACGUGGCUUGUUUUUGUUCAAAACCUCAAGAAGCUGCGUAUAGAGUUUUGUGAUGAUGUGGAAGAAAUAAUCGGGGUUGAUAAAUUGAGAGAUAUUUCAGAGAUAAUCGGGUCAGAGCAUAACUUUUUCGCACAACUCGAAUAUCUAACCAUAAGUUGGGGAAUAAAUUUAAAGGGCGUUUACCCGAAUCCCCUGCCCUUUCCAAAGCUGAAGAAAAUUAAAGUACGUGGAUGCCGACACCUGAAGAAGCUCCCACUCAAUUCCAGCAGCGCGAAGGAACGUCGAGUUGUCAUCGAGGGAUCGAAAAAGUGGUGGGAAGAGCUACAAUGGGAGGAUCAAGCCACCCAAAAUGCUUUCUCUUCCGGUGUCGUACUUAGGGAUGAUUAUGAAUAUGUUUGAAUAUGUAUUUCUUUUUUUUUUUAAUUUUCAUUAGAUUUAAUUGCAUCUUGUCCUUGUUGUCUGGUGUGUCAAUCAUUCCCUAUUUUCAGUUAAUAAAUAUUAGGGCAAGAGCUGCACAUUUGUAGUCUCAAAUUCAUUUGACAUCAGCCAAUUUAAUUAGGGACAUUUAUCAUACAUAUUUGGCUAGUUCGCCGUGGAAAAAUAAUAAUAGUUGAAAAGACAUAGGGUACUUUUUAUUUUCCUUUAUAUUACUAAUAGAUUUCCCACGCGCAACAGACGAAGUCAUUGCUGCUUCAAUAAUUGCCCUAUCACUGUGUUCAUCUUCACAAAUUUCUUUAUUACGUUUGUGAAAUAACCUUAGCAUAACAAAAUUACUCCUACUUUUUAACUAAUAAUAGAUAUCUCAAAUUUUAUUUUCAGAAUAUGGUAUGUAAUGUAAGCGAUCGAUAGUUUUUUAUAAAAUAUAUAAAUAAAUUAAUAGUGUUAUUUAGUGUGUAAUUAACAAAUGCCGCAUCAUUUAAGAAAAAUUCAGGAUAUGUAAUACUAAUUGACAUACUUAAAUUAAAAGAUAAUAAUUUUUUUUUGAUCUGAUCAUAUUAAAUAAUUUAAGAUGAUUGGUAGUUAAUAAAUAAAAAAAAUAAAAAAAAUUAAAUUAUAUUUAUAUACUAUAAUUAAAAGACACAUAAAAAUAUAUUUUUAAAAAUUUAAUAAAACUCAGAUACAGAGAAAUCCUACUCCUACAGUAAUGCGGGUGACAAUUAAGAGCAUGAUUUUACUAUGUUACAUUUAAUGUACUAUACACAACCAAUAAGAACUACACAAUUAUAUGAGUUCCACAAUUUAUGUGGUUCUUGUGGGUUGUGUAUGGUACAUUAAAUGUAACAUAGGGACUCCCUUAAGAGCAAGUCUAUAUUUUUCAUCCACGUGUCAGACGGAAACGCAUGAGUCACAUUUCUAAGCAUGUUUGAAAGUUGAAACAUUGGAGUUGUCAAAUGCGGACAAAUGUGAGUCCCGUUUCCAUGCUUUUUGUUUUGAAAUAAUUAAAGAUUUUUUUUGGUCCUUUUUUAGGGGCUGUCGGUCAUGCUAUCAAUGAAAAUGCAGGAGCUCAAUUAUUUGUGCUGAGCUGUAUGUUACUGUUAUCAAAUUAGAUUUUUUUUGGUUCUUUUUUAGGGGCUGUCAACGUCCAACGGUCACAUUUACUUGUACGCGACCUUUAUGUUCGUGGAUGUAAUCGCCUUUAUCAUCUUUUUUUUUUUUUUUUAAUUAUUAUUCAUUAUAUUUAUAAUUAUAUGAUUACCGAGAUUGAUUUCUAUCAAUUCUAAUAUUACACUGUUUAAAUUUUAAUCCUUUCAAAUAAUCAAGGAACAUCAACUCACUUCCUAAAAAAAACUGUUUUCAUUCAAACUUUGAGUGGCUCACCACUGGACCAAGCCCUAAUGGUCUAUCGCCAAAUUAAGUCUUGUUUGUUUUCUUAAAAAGGCAAAUGUUAUGUUUGUGGCAAACCUGGACAUUUUGCUAUCAAAUCCAAGUAUAGAAAGGGAGAUCACAAGCCUCUUAAGGCCAAUUUGGUCGACCAAGAAGAAAUUAUUCCUGUUGUGGUGGUCUCUCAAGCGAACAUGGUUGUUACUAAGGGAAAAAAAUGGUGACAAAUUCUAGGAAUUAACGUUAAAAUUUAUUUUAUUUUUAUUUUAUCUAUCUUUGACUUAAUAUUUUGAAUCUUCAUCCAAAGUUGAGGCACAAAAUUUUUAUUCUAAAUAAAUAUUAUCAAUAUAAAUAUAUCACUUAAAUAAUAAAUGAUAAGAUUGAAUGUUAAUUCUGUCAUUACUGAAAGAAUUACAAAUUUUAUAUGACGUGUAGACGUAUCAUUAUGUUCUUGAUUUUUGAAAUAUGAAUCAAGCAACAUAUGUAGCAUAUUUUUAUUCAGUGCUUUGCUUCUCUAAAAAUUGUUGAAAGCAGCAGCUGUGAAGAGUCAACGGUUGACCUUGAAGCCAAGCUGGCAUGCCUCCUGAGCUACUCCCAUGUGCAACCAGCUGGUGUGGCAGGUGAGUUGGCUUUGUUGAGCUGGCAAAACUGUUAUGUUGAAGAAUAGCAGCGCAUGUGCAUUGAAUAGUUGCAUCUUCUAGAAGCUUAAUGUGAUUGGUUCACAAUUGCUAUAUUCACGGAUCAAUUUUGAUUAUUUCCGUAUAAUACCCCUUAGGCUAGCUAUCAUUAUUUUUUGUCUCUGUAUGUAAACUAGCAAAGCUCUGUAUUUCAUUUUCAUCCAAGUCAUCAUAAUCAAUAAAGGCCCGAUUCUCAUACUCUGUUUGCAUUUGAAAGCAAUUCUUAAGAAUUUAAGUAAAAUGACCCUCACCAAAUUAGCUUAAUUCUUUUCAUUGUACCCAUUGCUUCACUUCCACUUUUCGUCAACGACAAUGGGUAACUUAAUCUCAACCUUCUUACCAGCAGACUUAUUCGAUCGAACUUCAAACUGCGUUGGUGAACAAGCAAAAUAUGUAUGGGGUCUCGAAAAAAAUCUUCGGAUCUUGGAGACUGAAUUGCACAAAUUGACUCGAGCAAGGGACGAUUUGAAGACCAAGGUUGAGGUCGAAGAACAACGACCUCGAACCAGACGAACGAACCAGGUCGCAGGGUGGCUUGAAGAUGUGCAAAAUCUGGAAACUGAAUUUACCGAGCUGGAACGAGUUAGAGCUCAAGAAAUGGAUAGAUUGUGCCUUGGAGGCCUCUGUUCCAAAAACUUCGUUUCAAGCUACAAUUACGGGACUCAGGUGGUCGAGUUGACGGAUCGAGUGAUCAAUUUAGAGAAAGACGGAGAAAAAAUUGAAGUCGUUGUUGAGAAGGCGCCGGAUGGUGCAGCAAUUGAAUUACCUGUUGAUCACACGGUUGUUGGUCAAGAACUAUUACUUGAUCAAGUUUGGAGAUGUAUCACUGAUCAGGAAAAUAACAGGGGAAUUAUCGGCCUUUAUGGUAUAGGGGGAGUCGGCAAAACUACCCUUUUAAAACAAGUCAACAACAACUUCUGCCAUCAACAGCAUAUGUUUGAUGUUGUUAUCUGGGCGGCUGUGUCAACACUUCAAGAUGACAUUGGAAAAAGGAUUGGCUUUUCAGAAGACAGAAACUGGAAGGAAAAAAGUCUUCAAGACAAGGCUGUGGACAUCGCUAGCAUUUUAAGCGGAAAGAAGUUUGUGUUGUUAUUAGAUGAUAUAUGGGACCGCAUUGAUUUAACACAAUUGGGUGUCCCUCUUCAAAAUCUAAAUGAUGGGUCCAAAAUAGUCUUAACAACUCGUUCAGCCGGUGUUUGCGAUCAAAUGGACGCUAAAAAGUUGGAAGUGUCUAGUUUGGCAGAUGAUGAAGCCUGGAAAUUAUUUCAGGAGAUGAUCGAAAGAUCCACUCUUGACAGUCAUACCAGUAUUCCAGUGCUAGCCGAAACCCUGGCAAGAGAGUGUGGUGGGUUGCCGCUAGCGCUUAAAACAGUGGGUCGAGCCAUGAAAAGCCAAAGGAAAGUUGGAUAUUGGAAACGUGCAAUUCACAAAAUGAGAACAUCAGCUUCUAAAUUCUCAGGUAUGAAAGAAGAGGUGUUUUCGCGUUUAAAGUUCAGCUAUGAUAGUUUGUCUACGGAUGAACUUCGUUCCUGUCUCCUGUAUUGUUGUUUAUACCCUGAAGACUACGAAAUUCCUAAAAGGGAAUUGAUUGAUUACUGGAUUAGUGAAGGAUUUGUGUAUGAUUUUGAUGAUGGAUGCGAUUUUAUUGAUGACCUUCUUCAAGCAUGCUUAUUGGAGGAAGAAGGCGAUGAUCAUGUCAAAAUGCACGAUAUGAUUCGUGAGAUGUCGUUAUGGAUAGCGUGCACGGUAGAGAAGGAGGAGCAGAACUUACUGGUUCGCGCUGGAGUUGAAUUGACCGAAGCACCAAAGGUUGAAGAAUGGGAAGGUGCCAAACGGGUAUCUCUGAUGUUAAAUGAAAUUGAAAGCCUAUCGGAAAUUCCCACGUGUCCGCGUCUCGUAACUUUUCUCCUGGAUGGAAAUUCUUUGAAGGAGAUCACUGACGGCUUCUUUCAAUCGAUGUCUUCUCUUAGAGUAUUAAGUUUAAGUGAAAAUUUUCACCUAAGUACACUACCUUCAGGGAUUUCAAGUUUGGUUUCAUUACAUCAUCUUGAUCUAUCACGGACUCACAUAACCGGGUUGCCGCAAGAGCUGAAGGCGUUGGAGAAGCUGAGAUAUUUGAACUUGGAGUAUACACAGUAUUUGUCUAUAAUUCCACAUCAGUUGAUAUCUGGCUUUUCAAAGUUGGAGGUACUCAGGUUGCUUUUCUGCGGUCGUAAGGGUGUAAUAGAGGAAGAAGAAGGUAACGUUCUAUGUGAUGAUGCUGAAUCGUUGAUGAAGGAAUUGCUGGGUUUGAAGCAUUUAAAUUUUUUAAGCUGGUCCUUCCGAAGUUCACUUGCUGUCCAAAAGUUUUUGAAAUAUCCAAAGCUGGUGAGCAUCACUCAAUCUGUACGGGUUGAAUGUGGUGGCAAGUUUACUACAAGGCCACCGUUCAAUGUCUUACAUAUGGCAUACAUGGAGAAUCUUCAGGAGUUACGUCUUACAACCAGUAGUUUGGAAGAGAUGAAGAUUGACAGCACAGAAGAGGUGAAGAAACUUUUUCAAAGUGGUUUCCGCAGUCUCAACACAGUUCAUGUAUUUUGUUGCCAUAAAGCGAAGGACUUAACGUGGCUUGUUUUUGUUAAAAACCUCAAGGAGCUGCGUAUAGAGUUUUGUUAUGAUGUGGAAGAAAUAAUCGGGGUUGAUAAAUUGAGAGAUAUUUCAGAGAUAAUCGGGUCAGAGCAUAACUUUUUCGCACAACUCGAAUCUCUAACCAUAACGUCGGGAAGAAAUUUAAAGAGCGUUUACCCGAAUCCCCUGCUCUUUCCAAAGCUGAAGAAAAUUGAAGUACGUGUAUGCCCACAGCUGAAGAAGCUCCCACUCAAUUCCAGCAGCGCGAAGGAACGUCGAGUUGUCAUCCGGGGAGAGAAAGAAUGGUGGGAAGAGCUACAAUGGGAGGAUCAAGACACCCAAAAUGCUUUUUCUUCCGGUGCCGUACUUACUGAGGUUCCUUUUUAUUAAUAUGUUUGAAUAUGUAUUUCUUUUUUUUCUUUUUUAAUUUUCAUUAGAUUUAAUUGCAUCUUGUUCUUGUUGUCUGGUGUGUCAAUCGUUCCCUAUUUUCAGUUAAUAAAAUUUCAGCAGUGGAUUCUUGGUUUAUUAAUGUUUAUAUAACUGAAUUGUUCAGCAGAUGUACUCUGCAUAUGUACUCUGACUCUGCUUCUGGCUUCUAAGGAGAAAGAGGUGAAAAUAAACAUUUUAUCUUCCCUUAGCUGCUCUCCUUUGGUUUGAAAUAUGUGACCUUUAUAUAUACUCGUCAACAAAAUUGUAUUUGUCGCUUUAAGUCUUGUUUGUUUUAAAUCCUGGCAUAUGUAAUUAUGUAUGGAGUGGGAACUGAGAUGAUGAUGAA
rnacentral:lncRNA from 1 species